AAGUCGUAACAAGGUCUCCGUAGGUGAACCUGCGGAGGGAUUAUUGCUGUAUUGGUCUGCUCAGGGCCUUACACAUCCACACACUGUGAAAACGGUUGAACCUUUUUUAACUCUGAAGUGAUGCAUGUCUUUAUGAUAAAAAAAGAAACAACUUUCAGCAACGGAUCUCUUGGCUCCC
rnacentral:misc_RNA from 1 species